rnacentral:rRNA from 1 species
AAAUGAAUUGACGGGGACCCACACAAGCAGUGGAUCAUGUUGUUUAAUUCGACAAUAAACGAGAAACCUCACCCAGGCUUGACAUCGAAGGAAUCCCCCAGAAACGGGGGAGUACCCGCAAGGGACCCGAAGACAGGUGCUGCAUGGUUGUCGUCAGCUCGUGCCUUGAGGUGUUCGGUUAAGUCCGUUAACGAGCGCAACCCAUGUCGUUAGUUAUUAUGUCUAACGAGACUGCCUGAGUUAAUCAGGAGGAAGGUGUGGAUGACGUCAAAUCAGCAUGGCCCUUAUGCCUGGGGCUACAAACAUGAUACAAUGGUCGGUACAAUGUGCAGCAAUAUCGCAAGAUGGAGCCAAUCACCAAAGCCGAUCUCAGUCCAGAUUGGAGUCUGCAACUCGACUCCAUGAAGUUGGAAUUGCUAGUAAUCGUGAAUCAGCUAUGUCACGGUGAAUCCGUUCCUGGGUCUUGUACACACCGCCCGU